rnacentral:rRNA from 1 species
UGUGAACUCGAAGAGUAGGGCGGGACACGUGGUAUCCUGUCUGAAUAUGGGGGGACCAUCCUCCAAGGCUAAAUACUCCUGACUGACCGAUAGUGAACCAGUACCGUGAGGGAAAGGCGAAAAGAACCCCGGCGAGGGGAGUGAAAAAGAACCUGAAACCGUGUACGUACAAGCAGUGGGAGCACCUUCGGGUGUGACUGCGUACCUUUUGUAUAAUGGGUCAGCGACUUAUAUUCUGUAGCAAGGUUAACCGUAUAGGGGAGCCGCAGGGAAACCGAGUCUUAACUGGGCGUUAAGUUGCAGGGUAUAGACCCGAAACCCGGUGAUCUAGCCAUGGGCAGGUUGAAGGUUGGGUAACACUAACUGGAGGACCGAACCGACUAAUGUUGAAAAAUUAGCGGAUGACUUGUGGCUGGGGGUGAAAGGCCAAUCAAACCGGGAGAUAGCUGGUUCUCCCCGAAAGCUAUUUAGGUAGCGCCUCGUGAACUCAUCUUCGGGGGUAGAGCACUGUUUCGGCUAGGGGGUCAUCCCGACUUACCAACCCGAUGCAAACUACGAAUACCGAAGAAUGUUAUCACGGGAGACACACGGCGGGUGCUAACGUCCGUCGUGAAGAGGGAAACAACCCAGACCGCCAGCUA